rnacentral:lncRNA from 1 species
UUGAAACUCUUUAUACUUAGCUGCUUGUGCCAGAAUCCCACCCCCCUGCCCAAUUUUUAGCAAGGCGGCGGGGAGCAUAAAAUUGGCACCAGCUGGAAAGAAGAAGAAAGAAAAAAUGGUGGUGCCCACUGGCUUCCCUCUCGGAGCAUGUCCACAGGCCCUGACCCUCAAGCCAACGCUUUAAGGUCUACACCAAAUAGAACGCUUUGUCCUGUCUUCAGCACCAUGCCCAAUGGUUCCCAUGAUCAUCCUGCGAAGAGCCUGUGAAAAGGGAAAACUCUGCUUCAUGUUUGGAAUCAAUGGGGUGAUAUCUAUGGGACAGAGCAUGAUAAACAAAUU